AUCCAGUGAUGAAACCUUGGCAUUAUUUAUGAUCUGAUCACACUUAGAAACUGUGGUUCUUAGUCAGCUGUUUGGUGAGUAGUCUUGGUAGUGUGAUUGAGUUUUAUUACACUGCUGUAAGGGCUCACCUAUAGUCAAACUUCCAUCUUCUGUAACUUAUACCCAUGAUGAGAAAUUUCGUGGGAUAUGUAGAAGAUGUCAAACAUUGUGUAACUUCUUGUUCGUCUCAGUGUGAAUGUUUAUGUAUCAGCUGACAAAAGGCUGUAGUGUCUAUAGAAGGUUUGACAGAUAUGAACAGUCAUCUUUGGUAAUCUGAGGAUA
rnacentral:snoRNA from 1 species